rnacentral:sRNA from 1 species
UACAGGUGUGAGCCACCGCGCCGGCCUUAAUGCACUCUUUAAAGAGAAGGGCAGUUAGCGACAGGGUCUCAUGCUGUUGCCCAGGCUGGGGUGCCCUGGCACGAUCAUGGCUGACUGCAGCCCUGUGCGCUCAAGUGAGCCUCUCACCUCAGCCUCCCAGAGUGCUGGGACUGCCAGCAUGAGCCACUGGACUCGGCAGCAUAAACUACUUUUUUCGUGCUAUUGCAUAUGGAUUGUUCAUUGAUAAUAUAUAGAAACAUAACUGGGUUUUGUGUAUGGAUUUUGUGCCCUGCAACUUUGCUGAAAUAAUUAAUUAGGGUUUUUUGUAUGUGGAUCUUUAGGGUUUUCUAUGUAGAAGGUCGUGUCAUUUGUGAAUAGGGAGAAUUUUUGUUUUCUUUUUCUUGCCCAGUUACUCUGGCUAGGGCCUCCAGUGCUGUGCUGAGAACAGUGGUGAGAGAAUCCGUGUCUUGUUCCUGACGUUGGAGGAAGAGCUUUCAGUCCUUCACAAUUGAGUGUGUUGUCUGCUGUGGGUUUCAUGUAGAGGUUUUAUCAUGGUGAAGAAGUUCCCUUCUGUUCUUCAGAGAUUUCCUUAACUAUUCUUACCUGGAUCCAAAAAGGAACCACAAGUGUGUCUCUCUCUUUAAGUCUCCGAUAAACGCACACUGGAAGCUGCUGCAUUUGCUGGUCCCUCAGGGACUUGCCAGACCAACUAAAAUGCACGACUCCAGAGUUUUGGAGGACAAGGUCUCCUGUCCACCAUGGUCCCAGCCAGCAGCUCCAGGAACACAGGCUGGGCUGCCUGCAGUGGAGGCGGGACUGAGGAAUGCUGGGGUGGCAGCUACUCACUGUGUGCUUCACAGAGAGCGGCACCUGUUCCUCUGAAUCCCUGCCUGGGUGGCUUGAGCUUGGAAUCAAGCUGACCCAUUUUGAGAGAGUGGAUUCUGAGCUUUUUCCUAGCAUAAGGUCGUUUUGAUAAAGGAGUGGUCCUUCGGACAUCCCUGUUCUGCCGUCCUGAUACCUCCAGUUUUGGGUUUUAUGUGUAGCACAGGGUGAAGCUUUAGUUCUCAGAACCCACCCCUGCUGUACCCUGCACCCUCGCCCUCUGCUGUGUUCACCCCGACCCUGUUGUACCCUGUGCCCUCAGCCUCUGCUGUGCUCACCCCUGACCCUGCUGGGCUCGCCCCUGACCCUGCUGUGUUCUGCGCCCUCGCCCUCUGCUGUGCUCGCCCCUGAGGCCUCCUGUCCAGAGUCGCUCUGGCUUUGGUGGCUUCAGGUAGAUUCUGAAGGGUCAGUCAGCACAGAAGCAACUCAGGGAAGCUUCAGAAAAAACCAUUUCUCAGGUUGGAGAGACAAGAAACAUUUGCAAAUGGAGAUCAGAAACCAUUGAAUCUGGGAACCUCUUUUUUUCAGGGUCUCUGGUAAGAAGAGUGAAAGCAAAGAAGCCAAGAAAUCUGAAGAACCAAGAAUUCGGAAGAAGCCGGGACCCAAGCCCGGAUGGAAGAAGAAGCUUCGUUGUGAGAGGUGAUGCCUGGAACGCGAGGCUCGCCCUGCCUGUCGGGGCCGGGGCUCCAUGCAUGCUCUUCAUUGCAGGGAGGAGCUUCCCACCAUCUACAAGUGUCCUUACCAGGGCUGCACAGCCGUGUAUCGAGGCGCUGACGGCAUGAAGAAGCACAUCAAGGAGCAUCAUGAGGAGGUCCGGGAGCGGCCCUGCCCCCAUCCUGGCUGCAACAAGGUUUUCAUGAUUGAUCGCUACCUGCAGCGCCACGUGAAGCUCAUCCACACAGAGGUGCGGAACUACAUCUGUGACGAGUGUGGACAAACCUUCAAGCAGCGGAAGCACCUUCUCGUCCACCAAAUGCGACAUUCGGGAGCCAAGCCUUUGCAGUAAGUGUGAGUCAGGCCCCCCGCCAGGGCUGUGGCCCACGCACCUUCUUACCUGCCUCUGUCCCCCAGGUGUGAGGUCUGUGGGUUCCAGUGCAGGCAGCGGGCAUCCCUCAAGUACCACAUGACCAAACACAAGGCUGAGACGGAGCUGGACUUUGCCUGUGACCAGUGUGGCCGGCGGUUUGAGAAGGCCCACAACCUCAACGUACACAUGUCCAUGGUGCACCCGCUGACACAGACCCAGGACAAGGCCCUGCCCCUGGAGGCGGAACCACCACCUGGGCCACCGAGCCCCUCUGUGACCACAGAGGGCCAGGCGGUGAAGCCCGAACCCACCUGAGGACGGCAGUGAGGAUGAGCACCUCUAGCAGCCCGGACUCCGCAGAGGCUGUCAGCCUCACCCUUCGUGUGCACCCGCAUGGGAGGGUCAGAGGGUGCUGCCCGCCCUCAGUGCUGGAGGCGGGCUUGGUGUACGGCUCAAGUAGCCUUCCUCUGCUCUGGGACCAGUGGUUUAUUUUCCUGCAAAUGCUGAGUGACCUGGGGCCAGACAGUUUAUAAAUAAUUGAUUCCUUUCCCCACUAAAGCAAUCGAGGAGAUUUGUAAUCCACUUUUUAGUGCAACAAGAGCUCCAUGUUAUGCUUGUAAUAAAUUAUUUACACAGG